rnacentral:rRNA from 1 species
UACGGAGGGCGCGAGCGUUGUCCGGAAUCACUGGGCGUAAAGGGCGCGUAGGCGGCCCUGGUAAGUCUGCGGUGAAAGCCCGGGGCUCAACCCCGGGUCGGCCGCGGGUACUGCCGGGCUGGAGUGCCGUAGGGCAGGCCGGAAUUCCGGGUGUAGCGGUGGAAUGCGUAGAGAUCCGGAAGAACACCGGUGGCGAAGGCGGCCUGCUGGGCGGCGACUGACGCUGAGGCGCGACAGCGUGGGGAGCAACAGG